UGUUAUUCCUUUCCAGAUAAUAUCAAAUAUCAUUGCAACUCCCAUUCUCUCUCUCUGCCAUCAACAUAACAGUUUAUUUUAUUUUAUUUCUGGUUUUUGAUAUCAAAUUAUUUUGCUAUUAUAACUUUUUAUUUUUCCACGUUUUACAAUUUUCAAAAUAACCGUUUUGUAAAAUAUAUUAUUCUGGAAAUUUGAAUGCAUCAUUCAUUUCAUGUUUGAUUAGUUUCUUAUUUAUACCUUAAUUAGUAGUGAUCUUAUUUAUACCUUUGUAUAGAAAAUAGGUGUGAAAACAAUUAAUAUUCAAUAGAAGAUAAGGAAUUGCCGUGUUGAUUGUGAUUCCUUGUCCCGUACGGUAUUAUUCUAUUGAAAAUUAACUGUUUUCACCCAAAUUUUCUAGAAAUUCAAACGGCUUUUACUAAGAAACUAUUGAUCGGAUAAGAAUGUAUGUUACGUUAAGAUAUUUAUAAUAAUAUUUUUUACGAAAUGUCUGUUUUCGUGAUAAAAUAUAUAAUAUGAUAACCUAACACAGCCUAAAGUAAUA